UACGUAGGCAGCGAGCGUUGUUCGGAAUUACUGGGCGUAAAGAGUGUGUAGGCGGUGCUCUAAGUUCGGUGUGAAAUCUCCCGGCUCAACUGGGCGGGUGCCGGGGAGACUGGCGGACUUGAGGAGCCUAGAGGCCGGUGGAACUCCCGGUGUAGUGGUGAAAUGCGUAGAGAUCGGGAAGAACACCAGUGGCGAAGGCGGCCGGCUGGGGGUGUCCUGACGCUGAGGCGCGAGAGCGUGGGGAGCAAACCGG
rnacentral:rRNA from 1 species